rnacentral:rRNA from 1 species
GAUGAACGCUGGCGGCGUGCCUAAUACAUGCAAGUCGAGCGAACGGACGAGAAGCUUGCUUCUCUGAUGUUAGCGGCGGACGGGUGAGUAACACGUGGAUAACCUACCUAUAAGACUGGGAUAACUUCGGGAAACCGUAGCUAAUACCGGAUAAUAUUUUGAACCGCAUGGUUCAAAAGUGAAAGACGGUCUUGCUGUCACUUAUAGAUGGAUCCGCGCUGCAUUAGCUAGUUGGUAAGGUAACGGCUUACCAAGGCAACGAUGCAUAGCCGACCUGAGAGGGUGAUCGGCCACACUGGAACUGAGACACGGUCCAGACUACUACGGGAGGCAGCAGUAGGGAAUCGUCCGCAAUGGGCGAAAGCCUGACGGAGCAACGCGGCGUGAGUGAUGAAGGUCUUCGGAUCGGAAAACUCUGUUAUUAGGGAAGAACACAUGUGUAAGUAACUGUGCACAUCUUGACGGUACCUAAUCAGAAAGCCACGGCUAACUACGUG